rnacentral:lncRNA from 1 species
GACGAAGGCUGACUGAGGCUUGACCGUCUUGCUACAUUACUCUCUCAAUAUGUGGCUUUCGAGUUUGCCAAAGCAGGAGAAGGAAGCUAGAGGGUUGAACAAGGCUUUUCACUGACCCAGCCCAGAAGAAACACAUGCUACCUCUGUUCCCAGUUAUUGCAGAACUAGUCACAGGGCCCCAAGCAAACUGCAAAGGAGGUCAUUAGAGUGAGCCUUAACCCAACAUGACUGAUGUCACUAUAAAAGGAAGUCAUUUGGACACAGAUACGGACAUGCACAGAAGGAAGAUGCCGUGAACACAUGCAGGGAGCAGAUCACCACGUGAAGAUGGAAGCAGAGAUUACAGGUAUGUUGCCACAAGCCAACAAAUGCUUGGGUCACCAAAAGCUAGGAGAGAGGCAUGGAACCUCAAAAGGAGCCAAUCCUGCUGACAUCUUGAUUUUGGACUUCUAGCUUCUGGAACUAAGAGAGAAUAAAUUUCUGUUGUUCUAAACCAA